UUUUCUUCAUGGAACCAUUGGUGCAAAUGAAGAAUUUUUAAGAGUGUGUUUGUGUUGGAUUUUUCAUUAAGGGGUGAUCAAACGAGGCUAUUUUUUGGACAGUAUAUGAUGUCAUGCUGUAUGGCUUCUGUUGUAAUAAAUAACAGACAUAUUAUAACAAAUAAUAUAAGUCAUAGUUUAUGUGUUCAUCAUACAACACUUCUGUUUGUACAAUUCUUUUAAGAGACAUAUGGGUUCAAAAGUGAUCAAGGGCUUGGGCAGUUCCAGUAAAACCCACUGCUGGACUUCUCACUUUUGGAUUUCACUUUCAGUUGUUGCCCUGCUCUGUGUAUAUAUAUAGGGUGCAGACCGAGACACAAUGACACUCCACCAAAGAGACUGAGAACUUGUGAGACAUUAAAAUGUCCGAAAGACUGCAGUUGAGCCACCAUGGACAUGGUGAAAAUGAUGAAGACAAUGUACCCAGUACAAAACAUGGACAUGGUGAAAAUGAUGAAGAAGCUGAUAUUCCUUCUACCAAACAGCAGCAGAACAGUGGCAUAAAUGAAAUCGAAGAGGCUACUAUAGAAAAGUCAACAGCGCAAAAAACCGCUUUAAGCGGCUUAAUAAGCAUGAUUGACACAUAUGACAGACCAGCAAGUGCCACAGCAGAAGGCAGUUAUGCAAAACAAAAAGCAUACAAGGAAGCUUGUAAAGAUGAGCCAAGUAAGAGAAUUCCCAAGGCUGGAUACAUUGCAGAAGCAGGAUUUGGACGAGCUCGUGUUGAAGCCAGUAUAUUUGAGGCUGAAGCCAGAGGCCCCAACGCCUCAGCUUGUGCUGAAGCCAAUGCGCUUAAACUAGAAGCAAUGGCUCGAGCUGAACUUGUCAGUGUAUCAGCUAAAGCUGGUCCACUUGCUGGGAAAUUGGGAGUUGGAUUAGACACGGGUGCAUCUGUUGGUUGGGAUGGGGUGGAGGUCAAAUUCCUGGGAACUGGAAUCUCACUUGGUCCAAAAAUGGGUGUAUCUAUUCUGGGUUCAGAAGCAUCAGCAUCAUGUUCAGUCAUGUAGUCAUAGAGGUAUUAAUUAUCUUUAAAUAUUUAUGUGUAACAUUCUACUUACAAACCAUGAAGACAAAAACAAAAACCUUAUAUAUAUUUUUUAAACUUUAACCACACUGUAAAAAAUGAAUGUGAUUUUAACAGUGAAAUAUUGUAAAAACGCUACGGAAAAAAAAUGUAAAUAGGUUAACAGUAAGUUCCAGUACUAUAUACAGGGAAAAACUGUAAAAGCUCUUACCAGACAUUUUAUGUAAUUUUCACAGUAAAAUGCUGUAAAUUUUACAAUUUUUAGAAGUAAAAAAGAACAAAUCAAUGUAUAAUUUACAGUCAAAAACUGUAAACUGAUAUUCCCACAAUUCCCUGUGUGACACUCCACAUUUGAAAGUAUUUUGUUUAAAAAAUCAUGUUUCUUAAUAGUUUUUGUUAUCAGUUAUGUACAUUAGGGUUUUAUGUUACAUCUUCUGUUGUUUAAUGAAUGUCUAUUGCAUUAUGUAAGUGUUGUGGGUUACCAUGAUGGUGUUUUGCGUUUGCGUGAAUGACUUUUUGCACCCUCUUUACAUUAGUAUAUACUUCAGCUAGUGGAAAAGCUACUUGUGAUGAACUUUGAUUCUUCAUGUGGCUUUCUCUUUUACCACCUGAAUUAUUAUGGUGGUUGUCAGUAGAUGUUAAAGGUACAAAACAGAUUUUAGUAGUAGUAUGCAUUGUUGAAUUUACUUGUUUACAUUCAAAUUUUCUUGUUUGUAAAUUACAGUUUUAUACUGUAAAAUUGACAGUUUGUUCUGUAAAUGUGUUUACAGUUUCUCUGUAUUUUUUACAAAAUUAUUCUGGCAACCACAGCUGCCAAAAUUAUUUUGUAAAAACUACGGAAUAUUUUUUACAGUGCAGUUUUAAUGCAGAAUUAGUAACGCUAUUGAGCUAUAAAUACACAGAACAUACUUUAACAAUAUGAAAAUAAUGUUUUAUUUUAGAUUUUAUACAAAUGUUAUGACUUUUGUCUUUUGAGAAUGUCAUUUGUCAUUUAAGAAUAAAUAUUUGUGUUUGGUUA